AGAAAUAAGGGGGGGUGAGAGAGAGAUAAGGGGGGGUGAGAAAGAGAAAUGGGGGGGUGAGAAAGGAGGGGGGGUGAGAGAAAAUAGGGCGGGGGUGAGAGAGAAAUUAGGAGGGGGGUGAGAAAGAGAAAUUAGGAGGCGGGGAGAGAAAGAGAAAUUGGGAGGAGGAGAAGGAAAUUGGAGCGGGAGGAGAGAUUGACAUUCAUCACAUACACACAAUGCACCCCUUGCACACAGACACACAUACACAAGCAAUGCAACCGUUACACACAAUGCAUCCCUUACACACACAGAAACACACAAUGCAUUCAUUACACACACUCAAUGCACCCCUUACACACAUUCAAUGCAUCCCAUACAUACACAAAAACACACCUUGCAGCCCUUACACAUAC